rnacentral:rRNA from 1 species
UUAAGUUAUUAAGGGCGCACGGUGGAUGCCUUGGCACUAGAAGCCGAUGAAGGACGUUACUAACGACGAUAUGCUUUGGGGAGCUGUAAGUAAGCUUUGAUCCAGAGAUUUCCGAAUGGGGAAACCCAGCAUGAGUUAUGUCAUGUUAUCGAUAUGUGAAUACAUAGCAUAUCAGAAGGCACACCCGGAGAACUGAAACAUCUUAGUACCCGGAGGAAGAGAAAGAAAAUUCGAUUCCCUUAGUAGCGGCGAGCGAAACGGGAAGAGCCCAAACCAAAAAGCUUGCUUGUUGGGGUUGUAGGACACUCUAUACGGAGUUACAAAGGACGACAUUAGACGAAUCAUCUGGAAAGAUGAAUCAAAGAAGGUAAUAAUCCUGUAGUCGAAAAUGUUGUCUCUCUUGAGUGGAUCCUGAGUACGACGGAGCACGUGAAAUUCCGUCGGAAUCUGGGAGGACCAUCUCCUAAGGCUAAAUACUCUCUAGUGACCGAUAGUGAACCAGUACCGUGAGGGAAAGGUGAAAAGCACCCCGGAAGGGGAGUGAAAUAGAACCUGAAACCGUGUGCUUACAAGUAGUCAGAGCCCGUUAAUGGGUGAUGGCGUGCCUUUUGUAGAAUGAACCGGCGAGUUACGAUUUGAUGCAAGGUUAAGCAGUAAAUGUGGAGCCGUAGCGAAAGCGAGUCUGAAUAGGGCGUUUAGUAUUUGGUCGUAGACCCGAAACCAGGUGAUCUACCCUUGGUCAGGUUGAAGUUCAGGUAACACUGAAUGGAGGACCGAACCGACUUACGUUGAAAAGUGAGCGGAUGAACUGAGGGUAGCGGAGAAAUUCCAAUCGAACCUGGAGAUAGCUGGUUCUCUCCGAAAUAGCUUUAGGGCUAGCCUCAAGUGAUGAUUAUUGGAGGUAGAGCACUGUUUGGACGAGGGGCCCUCUCGGGUUACCGAAUUCAGACAAACUCCGAAUGCCAAUUAAUUUAACUUGGGAGUCAGAACAUGGGUGAUAAGGUCCGUGUUCGAAAGGGAAACAGCCCAGACCACCAGCUAAGGUCCCAAAAUAUAUGUUAAGUGGAAAAGGAUGUGGCGUUGCCCAGACAACUAGGAUGUUGGCUUAGAAGCAGCCAUCAUUUAAAGAGUGCGUAAUAGCUCACUAGUCGAGUGACACUGCGCCGAAAAUGUACCGGGGCUAAACAUAUUACCGAAGCUGUGGAUUGUCCUUUGGACAAUGGUAGGAGAGCGUUCUAAGGGCGUUGAAGCAUGAUCGUAAGGACAUGUGGAGCGCUUAGAAGUGAGAAUGCCGGUGUGAGUAGCGAAAGACGGGUGAGAAUCCCGUCCACCGAUUGACUAAGGUUUCCAGAGGAAGGCUCGUCCGCUCUGGGUUAGUCGGGUCCUAAGCUGAGGCCGACAGGCGUAGGCGAUGGAUAACAGGUUGAUAUUCCUGUACCACCUAUAAUCGUUUUAAUCGAUGGGGGGACGCAGUAGGAUAGGCGAAGCGUGCGAUUGGAUUGCACGUCUAAGCAGUAAGGCUGAGUAUUAGGCAAAUCCGGUACUCGUUAAGGCUGAGCUGUGAUGGGGAGAAGACAUUGAGUCUUCGAGUCGUUGAUUUCACACUGCCGAGAAAAGCCUCUAGAUAGAAAAUAGGUGCCCGUACCGCAAACCGACACAGGUAGUCAAGAUGAGAAUUCUAAGGUGAGCGAGCGAACUCUCGUUAAGGAACUCGGCAAAAUGACCCCGUAACUUCGGGAGAAGGGGUGCUCUUUAGGGUUAACGCCCAGAAGAGCCGCAGUGAAUAGGCCCAAGCGACUGUUUAUCAAAAACACAGGUCUCUGCUAAACCGUAAGGUGAUGUAUAGGGGCUGACGCCUGCCCGGUGCUGGAAGGUUAAGAGGAGUGGUUAGCUUCUGCGAAGCUACGAAUCGAAGCCCCAGUAAACGGCGGCCGUAACUAUAACGGUCCUAAGGUAGCGAAAUUCCUUGUCGGGUAAGUUCCGACCCGCACGAAAGGCGUAACGAUUUGGGCACUGUCUCAACGAGAGACUCGGUGAAAUCAUAGUACCUGUGAAGAUGCAGGUUACCCGCGACAGGACGGAAAGACCCCGUGGAGCUUUACUGUAGCCUGAUAUUGAAAUUCGGCACAGCUUGUACAGGAUAGGUAGGAGCCUUUGAAACGUGAGCGCUAGCUUACGUGGAGGCGCUGGUGGGAUACUACCCUAGCUGUGUUGGCUUUCUAACCCGCACCACUUAUCGUGGUGGGAGACAGUGUCAAGCGGGCAGUUUGACUGGGGCGGUCGCCUCCUAAAAGGUAACGGAGGCGCUCAAAGGUUCCCUCAGAAUGGUUGGAAAUCAUUCAUAGAGUGUAAAGGCAUAAGGGAGCUUGACUGCGAGACCUACAAGUCGAGCAGGGUCGAAAGACGGACUUAGUGAUCCGGUGGUUCCGCAUGGAAGGGCCAUCGCUCAACGGAUAAAAGCUACCCCGGGGAUAACAGGCUUAUCUCCCCCAAGAGUUCACAUCGACGGGGAGGUUUGGCACCUCGAUGUCGGCUCAUCGCAUCCUGGGGCUGUAGUCGGUCCCAAGGGUUGGGCUGUUCGCCCAUUAAAGCGGUACGCGAGCUGGGUUCAGAACGUCGUGAGACAGUUCGGUCCCUAUCCGUCGUGGGCGUAGGAAAUUUGAGAGGAGCUGUCCUUAGUACGAGAGGACCGGGAUGGACAUACCUCUGGUGUACCAGUUGUCGUGCCAACGGCAUAGCUGGGUAGCUAUGUGUGGACGGGAUAAGUGCUGAAAGCAUCUAAGCAUGAAGCCCCCCUCAAGAUGAGAUUUCCCAACUUCGGUUAUAAGAUCCCUCAAAGAUGAUGAGGUUAAUAGGUUCGAGGUGGAAGCAUGGUGACAUGUGGAGCUGACGAAUACUAAUCGAUCGAAGACUUAAUCAA